rnacentral:rRNA from 1 species
UACGAAGGGGGCUAGCGUUGCUCGGAAUCACUGGGCGUAAAGCGCACGUAGGCGGGGCUUUAAGUCAGGGGUGAAAUCCUGGAGCUCAACUCCAGAACUGCCUUUGAUACUGAAGAUCUCGAGUUCGGGAGAGGUGAGUGGAACUGCGAGUGUAGAGGUGAAAUUCGUAGAUAUUCGCAAGAACACCAGUGGCGAAGGCGGCUCACUGGCCCGGUACUGACGCUGAGGUGCGAAAGCGUGGGGAGCAAACAGG